rnacentral:rRNA from 1 species
AUACGGAGGAUGCGAGCGUUAUCCGGAUUUAUUGGGUUUAAAGGGAGCGUAGGCGGGAGAUCAAGUCAGCUGUGAAAUGUAGAUGCUCAACAUCUGCACUGCAGUUGAAACUGGUUUUCUUGAGUGCGUAAGGGGCAGGCGGAAUUCGUCGUGUAGCGGUGAAAUGCUUAGAUAUGACGAAGAACUCCGAUCGCGAAGGCAGCCUGCCGGGCCGCGACUGACGCUGAAGCUCGAAGGUGCGGGUAUCGAACAGGAUUAGAUACCCUGGUAGUCCGCACAGUAAACGAUGGAUACUCGCUGUCGGCGAUAUACGGUCGGUGGCCAAGCGAAAGCGUUAAGUAUCCCACCUGGGGAGUACGCCGGCAACGGUGAAACUCAAAUGAAUUGGCGGGG